GACAGCCCCGUACACAAAAGCGCAUGUGCUGUGAGCUCGAUGAGUAGGGCGGGACACGUGGUAUCCUGUCUGAAUAUGGGGGGACCAUCCUCCAAGGCUAAAUACUCCUGACUGACCGAUAGUGAACCAGUACCGUGAGGGAAAGGCGAAAAGAACCCCGGCGAGGGGAGUGAAAAAGAACCUGAAACCGUGUACGUACAAGCAGUGGGAGCACAGGUUUACCUGUGUGACUGCGUACCUUUUGUAUAAUGGGUCAGCGACUUAUAUUCUGUAGCAAGGUUAACCGUAUAGGGGAGCCGGAGGGAAACCGAGUCUUAACCGGGCGUUAAGUUGCAGGGUAUAGACCCGAAACCCGGUGAUCUAGCCAUGGGCAGGUUGAAGGUUGGGUAACACUAACUGGAGGACCGAACCGACUAAUGUUGAAAAAUUAGCGGAUGACCUGUGGCUGGGGGUGAAAGGCCAAUCAAACCGGGAGAUAGCUGGUUCUCCCCGAAAGCUAUUUAGGUAGCGCCUCGUGAAUUCAUCUCCGGGGGUAGAGCACUGUUUCGGCUAGGGGGCCAUCCCGGCUUACCAACCCGAUGCAAACUGCGAAUACCGGAGAAUGUUAUCACGGGAGACACACGGCGGGUGCUAACGUCCGUCGUGAAGAGGGAAACAACCCAGACCGCCAGCUAAGGUCCCAAAGUCAUGGUUAAGUGGGAAACGAUGUGGGAAGGCCCAGACAGCCAGGAUGUUGGCUUAGAAGCAGCCAUCAUUUAAAGAAAGCGUAAUAGCUCACUGGUCGAGUCGGCCUGCGCGGAAGAUGUAACGGGGCUAAACCAUGCACCGAAGCUGCGGCAGCGACACUCAGGUGUUGUUGGGUAGGGGAGCGUUCUGUAAGCCUGUGAAGGUGGCCUGUGAGGGUUGCUGGAGGUAUCAGAAGUGCGAAUGCUGACAUAAGUAACGAUAAAGCGGGUGAAAAGCCCGCUCGCCGGAAGACCAAGGGUUCCUGUCCAACGUUAAUCGGGGCAGGGUGAGUCGACCCCUAAGGCGAGGCCGAAAGGCGUAGUCGAUGGGAAACGGGUUAAUAUUCCCGUACUUGGUGUUACUGCGAAGGGGGGNNNNNNNNNNNNNNNNNNNNGGGGGGACGGAGAAGGCUAUGUUGGCCGGGCGACGGUUGUCCCGGUUUAAGCGUGUAGGUGUGUGUUCCAGGUAAAUCCGGUUCACUUUAACACUGAGGCGUGACGACGAGGCACUACGGUGCUGAAGCAACAAAUGCCCUGCUUCCAGGAAAAGCCUCUAAGCAUCAGGUAACAUCAAAUCGUACCCCAAACCGACACAGGUGGUCAGGUAGAGAAUACCAAGGCGCUUGAGAGAACUCGGGUGAAGGAACUAGGCAAAAUGGUGCCGUAACUUCGGGAGAAGGCACGCUGACACGUAGGUGAAGUGAUUUACUCAUGGAGCUGAAGUCAGUCGAAGAUACCAGCUGGCUGCAACUGUUUAUUAAAAACACAGCACUGUGCAAACACGAAAGUGGACGUAUACGGUGUGACGCCUGCCCGGUGCCGGAAGGUUAAUUGAUGGGGUCAGCGCAAGCGAAGCUCCUGAUCGAAGCCCCGGUAAACGGCGGCCGUAACUAUAACGGUCCUAAGGUAGCGAAAUUCCUUGUCGGGUAAGUUCCGACCUGCACGAAUGGCGUAAUGAUGGCCAGGCUGUCUCCACCCGAGACUCAGUGAAAUUGAACUCGCUGUGAAGAUGCAGUGUACCCGCGGCAAGACGGAAAGACCCCGUGAACCUUUACUAUAGCUUGACACUGAACAUUGAGCCUUGAUGUGUAGGAUAGGUGGGAGGCUUUGAAGUGUGGACGCCAGUCUGCAUGGAGCCGACCUUGAAAUACCACCCUUUAAUGUUUGAUGUUCUAACGUGGACCCGUUACCCGGGUUGCGGACAGUGUCUGGUGGGUAGUUUGACUGGGGCGGUCUCCUCCUAAAGAGUAACGGAGGAGCACGAAGGUUGGCUAAUCCUGGUCGGACAUCAGGAGGUUAGUGCAAUGGCAUAAGCCAGCUUGACUGCGAGCGUGACGGCGCGAGCAGGUGCGAAAGCAGGUCAUAGUGAUCCGGUGGUUCUGAAUGGAAGGGCCAUCGCUCAACGGAUAAAAGGUACUCCGGGGAUAACAGGCUGAUACCGCCCAAGAGUUCAUAUCGACGGCGGUGUUUGGCACCUCGAUGUCGGCUCAUCACAUCCUGGGGCUGAAGUAGGUCCCAAGGGUAUGGCUGUUCGCCAUUUAAAGUGGUACGCGAGCUGGGUUUAGAACGUCGUGAGACAGUUCGGUCCCUAUCUGCCGUGGGCGCUGGAGAACUGAGGGGGGCUGCUCCUAGUACGAGAGGACCGGAGUGGACGCAUCACUGGUGUUCGGGUUGUCAUGCCAAUGGCACUGCCCGGUAGCUAAAUGCGGAAGAGAUAAGUGCUGAAAGCAUCUAAGCACGAAACUUGCCCCGAGAUGAGUUCUCCCUGAGACUUUAGGUCUCCUGAAGGAACGUUGAAGACGACGACGUUGAUAGGCCGGGUGUGUAAGCGCAGCGAUGCGUUGAGCUAACCGGUACUAAUGAACCGUGAGGCUUAACCUUACAACGCCGAAGAUGUUUUGGCGGAUGAGAGACGAUUUUCAGCACUGAUU
rnacentral:rRNA from 1 species